GACGGAGGAUGCAAGCGUUAUCCGGAAUUAUUGGGCGUAAAGCGUUCGUAGGUGGCUGUUCAAGUCUGCCGUUAAAGACCGGGGCUUAACUCCGGAAAAACUGUGGAAACUGAACAGCUAGAGUAUGGUAGGGGUAAGGGGAAUUCCCGGUGUAGCGGUGAAAUGCGUAGAUAUCGGGAAGAACACCGGUGGCGAAGGCGCCUUACUGGGCCAUAACUGACACUGAGGGACGAAAGCUAGGGGAGCGAAAGGG
rnacentral:rRNA from 1 species